CCUACGGGAGGCUGCAGUGAGGAAUAUUGGUCAAUGGUCGCGAGACUGAACCAGCCAAGUCGCGUGAGGGAGGACGGUCCAGCGUAUUGUAAACCUCUUUUGUCAGGGAACAAAGUCCGGCACGCGUGCCCUUCUGAGUGUACCUUAAGAAAAAGCAUCGGCUAACUCCGUGCCAGCAGCCGCGGUAAUACGGAGGAUGCGAGCGUUAUCCGGAUUUAUUGGGUUUAAAGGGUGCGGAGGCGGGUUGUUAAGUCAGCCGUCAAAGUCCGGGGCUCAACCCCGACCCGGCCGUGGAAACUGGCAGUCUCGAGUGAGGGAGAAGUAGGCGGAAUGCGCGGUGUAGCGGUGAAAUGCAUAGAUAUCACGCAGAACUCCGAUUGCGAAGGCAGCAUAC
rnacentral:rRNA from 1 species